rnacentral:rRNA from 2 species
CAGCCGCCGCGGUAAAACCAGCACCUCAAGUGGUUAGGAUGAUUAUUGGGCCUAAAGCAUCCGUAGCCGGCUCUGUAAGUUUUCGGUUAAAUCUGUACGCUCAACGUACAGGCUGCCGGGAAUACUGCAGAGCUAGGGAGUGGGAGAGGUAGACGGUACUCGGUAGGAAGGGGUAAAAUCCUUUGAUCUAUUGAUGACCACCUGUGGCGAAGGCGGUCUACCAGAACACGUCCGACGGUGAGGGAUGAAAGCUGGGGGAGCAAACCGGAUUAGAUACCCGGGUAGUCCCAGCUGUAAACUAUGCAAACUCAGUGAUGCAUUGGCUUGAGGCCAAUGCAGUGCUGCAGGGAAGCCGUUAAGUUUGCCGCCUGGGAAGUACGUACGCAAGUAUGAAACUUAAAGGAAUUGGCGGGGGAGCAC